UACGAAGGGGGCAAGCGUUGUCCGGAAUCAUUGGGCGUAAAGCGCGCGUAGGUGGCCAUUUAAGUCCGCUGUGAAAGUCAAAGGCUCAACCUUUGAAAGCCGGUGGAUACUGGGUGGCUAGAGUACGGAAGAGGCGAGUGGAAUUCCUGGUGUAGCGGUGGAAUGCGCAGAUAUCAGGAGGAACACCAAUAGCGAAGGCAGCUCGCUGGGACGUUACUGACACUGAGGCGCGAAAGCGUGGGGAGCGAACAGG
rnacentral:rRNA from 1 species